rnacentral:lncRNA from 1 species
UCUUUCUGUUUUGGCUUCCUGCCGUUUUCUAAGUAUUUACUUGUCAAUUUUCUGGUCCGCUUCCUCCAUUUUGUAUCGACAUUCCUCAUGUACAAGUAGCUGAAAACUUUCCUAGCCCAACGCUUUUCUCCCAUUCCUCUCAAUCGCUCCUCAAAUUUUAU